AGCAGCCGCGGUAAUUCCAGCUCCAAUAGCGUAUAUUUAAGUUGUUGCAGUUAAAAGCUCGUAGUUGAAUUUCGGGAUUGGCGCAUCGGUCGUGCCUCACGGGGUAUGAACUGGUGCAGUCAAUUUCUCACCUUCUGGAGAACCGCGAUGUCCUUAAUUGGAUGCCGUGGGGAACCAGGACCUUUACUUUGAAAAAAUUAGAGUGUUUAAAGCAGGCAUUUUUGCUUGAAUACAUUAGCAUGGAAUAAUAAAAUAGGACGGCAUGGUUCUAUUUUGUUGGUUUCUAGGACCACCGUAAUGAUUAAUAGGGAUAGUUGGGGGCAUUAGUAUUCAAUUGUCAGAGGUGAAAUUCUUGGAUUUAUUGAAGACUAACUACUGCGAAAGCAUUUGCCAAGGAUGUUUUCAUUAAUCAAGAACGGAAGUUAGGGGAUCGAAGACGAUCAGAUACCGUCGUAGUCUUAACCAUAAACUAUGCCGACUAGGAAUCAGACGAUGUUAAUUUUUUAAUGACUCGUUUGGU
rnacentral:misc_RNA from 1 species